AUUGGAGCAGAAUUCAGUUCAUGAACUAUUGGAAGUUUUGAAGGGAUUUCCUUGUUUACAAGCUUUGGAGGUGGAUAUUCCUGGUUUCCUUGGAGAUAGUGCCAUAGAAAUUGUUGAAUCUCUUCCCAAACUUACUUUGCUGAAUGGUGUUGAUGCAUCAAAAAUAUUGGAGACUGGCAACCAUGUGAUUGAUUCAAUACUUAAGCCCCGUCUUCCUGAAUGGACGGCCAAUGAGCCUCUUGCUGAUCGUGUUGUUAAUGCAAUGUGGUUAUAUAUAAUGACAUAUAGACUUGC
rnacentral:misc_RNA from 1 species